rnacentral:rRNA from 1 species
UCAACCCGCACCCCGCCAAAAUGAACUGGUGCGGGUAGUUUACUGAAACCCUCGAAUUCGGAAUAUGGGAAAGUCGCCCCGGGUUGGGGGACUACUCCUUUUAUGGGGGUUGCAAUGGCUUUAUUCUAG